rnacentral:rRNA from 1 species
GAUGAACGCUGGCGGCGUGCCUAAUACAUGCAAGUCGAGCGAACAGACGAGGAGCUUGCUCCUCUGACGUUAGCGGCGGACGUGUGAGUAACACGUGGAUACCCUACCUAUAAGACUGGGAUAACUUCGGGAAACCGGAGCUAAUACCGGAUAAUAUAUUGAACCGCAUGGUUCAAUAGUGAAGGACGGUUUUGCUGUCACUUAUAGAUGGAUCCGCGCCGCAUUAGCUAGUUGGUAAGGUAACGGCUUACCAAGGCGACGAUGCGUAGCCGACCUGAGAGGGUGAUCGGCCACACUGGAACUGAGACACGGUCCAGACUCCUACGGGAGGCAGCAGUAGGGAAUCUUCCGCAAUGGGCGAAAGCCUGACGGAGCAACGCCGCGUGAGUGAUGAAGGUCUUCGGAUCGUAAAACUCUGUUAUUAGGGAAGAACAAAUGUGUAAGUAACUAUGCACGUCUUGACGGUACCUAAUCAGAAAGCCACGGCUAACUACGUG